rnacentral:rRNA from 1 species
UCGAGAAUAUUCCACAAUGGACGAAAGUCUGAUGGAGCGACGCCGCGUGCAGGAUGAAGGCCUUAGGGUCGUAAACUGCGGUAGUACAGCAGCAAUGCAAAUGAGCGCUGUACGGAAAGAGGUGGGUAACUACGUGCCAGCAGCCGCGGUCAUACGUAGGUCCCAAGCGUUAUCCGGAAUUACUGGGCGUAAAGAGUUGUGUAGGUGGUUUAUUAAGUUGGUAGUGAAAGCGUGCGGCUCAACCGCAUAUCCAUUAUCAAAACUGGUAGACUAGAGGGCGAGAGAGGUUAUUGGAAUUUCUAGUGUAGGAGUGAAAUCCGUAGAUAUUAGAAGGAACACCGAUGGCGUAGGCAGAUAACUGGCUCGCACCUGACACUCAGACACGAAAGCGUGGGGAGCGAACGGGAUUAGAUACCCACGUAGUCCCUGAGCGGGCUGGCAAGGCGCAU